GUACUUGCCUGGCCGCAGAUCCUACAAGCUAGGUCUCUCCCUCGCACUUCGGUGGAGCUGGGCCUCGCGAGUACGCCUAAUAUGGGAACAUCUAUUGUGCGUAAUAUUCUUGUUGGUCGGGACUGCGUUCGCGCUGUACCGAA